rnacentral:rRNA from 1 species
GAUGAACGCUGGCGGCGUGCCUAAUACAUGCAAGUCGAGCGAACAGACGAGGAGCUUGCUCCUCUGACGUUAGCGGCGGACGGGUGAGUAACACGUGGAUAACCUACCUAUAAGACUGGGAUAACUUCGGGAAACCGGAGCUAAUACCGGAUAAUAUAUUGAACCGCAUGGUUCAAUAGUGAAAGACGGUUUUGCUGUCACUUAUAGAUGGAUCCGCGCCGCAUUAGCUAGUUGGUAAGGUAACGGCUUACAAAGGCAACGAUGCGUAGCCGACCUGAGAGAGUGAUCGGCCACACUGGAACUGAGACACGGUCCAGACUCCUACGGGAGGCAGCAGUAGGGAAUCUUCCGCAAUGGGCGAAAGCCUGACGGAGCAACGCCGCGUGAGUGAUGAAGGUCUUCGGAUCGUAAAACUCUGUUAUUAGGGAAGAACAAAUGUGUAAGUAACUAUGCACGUCUUGACGGUACCUAAUCAGAAAGCCACGGCUAACUACGUG